AUUGAACGCUGGCGGCAUGCCUUACACAUGCAAGUCGAACGGCAGCACGGGUGCUUGCACCUGGUGGCGAGUGGCGAACGGGUGAGUAAUACAUCGGAACGUACCUUAUCGUGGGGGAUAACGCAGCGAAAGCUGUGCUAAUACCGCAUACGCCCUGAGGGGGAAAGCGGGGGAUCGCAAGACCUCGCGCGAUUAGAGCGGCCGAUGCCUGAUUAGCUUGUUGGUGGGGUAAAAGCCCACCAAGGCGACGAUCAGUAGCUGGUCUGAGAGGACGAUCAGCCACACUGGGACUGAGACACGGCCCAGACUCCUACGGGAGGCAGCAAGGGGGAAUUUUGGACAAUGGGGGCAACCCUGAUCCAGCAAUGCCGCGUGAGUGAAGAAGGCCUUCGGGUUGUAAAGCUCUUUUGUCAGGGAAGAAACACCGGCUCUAACACAGUCCGGGAAUGACGGUACCUGAAGAAUAAGCACCGGCUAACUACGUGCCAGCAGCCGCCGUAA
rnacentral:rRNA from 1 species